rnacentral:lncRNA from 1 species
AUCCCGGGAAAAAACAACGGGAAACCAAUUUUUCCCCUAAUUUUUCCCUUUUUUCCCCAAUUUUUCCCCUAUUUUCCUCAAUUUUUCCCUUUUUUCCCCAAUUUUUCCCAUUUUUCCCCAAUUUUUCCCCUAUUUUUCCCUUUUUUCCCCAAUUUUUCCCUUUUUUCCCCAAUUUUUCCCCAAUUUUUCCCAUUUUUUUCCCAUUUUUUCUCUUUUUUUCCUGUUUUUUCCCAUUUUUUUCCCAUUUUUCCCCAAUUUUUCCCAUUUUUUUCCCAUUUUUCUUCUUUUUUUUCUAUUUUUUCCCCGAUUUUUCCCAUUUUUCCCCAAUUUUUCCCUAAUUUUUCCUUUUUUUCCCCAAUUUUUCCUCUUUUUUUCCCAUUUUCUUCCCAUUUUUUCCCCUAUUUUUCCCUUUUUUCCCCAAUUUUUCCCAUUUUUCCCCAAUUUUCCUCAAUUUUUCCCUUUUUUCCCCAAUUUUUCCCAUUUUUCCCCAAUUUUUCCCUAAUUCUUCCCUUUUUUCCCCAAUUUUUCCCCAAUUUUUCCCUUUUUUCCCCAAUUUUUCCCCUUUUUCCCAAAUUUUUCCCAUUUUUUUCUCUUUUUUUCCAAUUUUUUCUGAUUUUUUUCCCCUUUUUUCCCCAAUUUUUGCCAAUUUUUCCCAAUUUUUCUUCUCCCUUUUUUCCUAUUUUUUCCCAUUUUCUCCCAUUUUCCCCCAAUUUUUCCCUUUUUUCCCCCAUUUUUCCCCUUUUUCCCCAAUUUUUCCCCAAUUUUUCCCUUUUUUCCCCAAUUUUUCCCCCAUUUUUCCCCUUUUUCCCCAAUUUUUCCCCAAUUUUUCCCAUUUUUUCCCCAAUUUUUCCCUUGUUUCCCCAAUUUUUCCCUUUUUUCCCCAAUUUUUUCCAUUUUUUCCUCAAUUUUUCCCUUUUUUCCCCAAUUUUCCCCAAUUUUUCCCAAUUUUCCCCAAUUUUUCCCCAAUUUUUCCCCAAUUCUUCCCUUUUUUCCCCAAUUUUUCCCUUUUUUCCCCAGUUUUUCCCCAAUUUUUCCCAUUUUUCCCCAAUAUUUCCCAAUUAUUUUUCCUUUUUUUCCCAUUUUUUCCAUUUUUCCCAUUUUCUCCCAUUUUUUCCCAUUUUUACUCAUUUUCUCCCAGUUUUUCCCAAUUUUUCUCCCUUUUUUCCCAUUUUUUCCCUUUUUUCCCCAAUUUUCCCCUUUUUUUUUCUCUUUUUUUCUUGUUUUUUCCCAUUUUUUUCUCCUUUUUUCCAAUUUAACCCAAUUUUUCCCCAAUUUUUCCCAUUUUUUUCUCUUUUUUCCCUGUUUUUUCCCAUUUUUUCCCAUUUUUCCCCAAUUUUUCCAGUUUUCCCCGUUUUUCCCCAGUUUUUCCAAUUUUUUCCCGGUUUUCCCAUUUUUUCUCAUUUUUUCCCAGUUUUUUCCCAAUUUUUUUCUAUUUUUUCACCAUUUUGUCCCUUUUUUCCCAUUUUUCUCCAUAUUUUCCAAUAUUUCCCCCCAUUUUCCCAGUUUAUUCCCAUUUUCGAUGUUUUCCCAUUUUUUUCUCCUUUUUUUCCCAUUUUUUCCCAUUUUUUUCCCAUUUUUUCCCCAUUUUCCCCCAAUAUUCCCAAUUUUUUUCCCAUUUUCCCAUUUUAUUCCAGUUUUUCUUAA